rnacentral:rRNA from 1 species
AAUCCAUAGGUUAAUGAGGCGAACCGGGGGAACUGAAACAUCUAAGUACCCCGAGGAAAAGAAAUCAACCGAGAUUCCCCCAGUAGCGGCGAGCGAACGGGGAGGAGCCCAGAGCCUGAAUCAGCAUGUGUGUUAGUGGAAGCGUCUGGAAAGGCGCGCGAUACAGGGUGACAGCCCCGUACACAAAAGCGCAUGUGCUGUGAGCUCGAUGAGUAGGGCGGGACACGUGGUAUCCUGUCUGAAUAUGGGGGGACCAUCCUCCAAGGCUAAAUACUCCUGACUGACCGAUAGUGAACCAGUACCGUGAGGGAAAGGCGAAAAGAACCCCGGCGAGGGGAGUGAAAAAGAACCUGAAACCGUGUACGUACAAGCAGUGGGAGCCCCACCACCAAAGCAUUUGCUGUACCGCGUUGACGGAGCGAAGCGACGUCAAACCGAUAAAACAGCAGUGUAAAGUGAGCCGCAGGGCGCUUUGCGCGACAGCGCAAAGGCAGGCGGUUUCGCGUAGCGAAAGCGAAUGCUUUGGGGUGGGGUGACUGCGUACCUUUUGUAUAAUGGGUCAGCGACUUAUAUUCUGUAGCAAGGUUAACCGAAUAGGGGAGCCGGAGGGAAACCGAGUCUUAAUUGGGCGUUAAGUUGCAGGGUAUAGACCCGAAACCCGGUGAUCUAGCCAUGGGCAGGUUGAAGGUUGGGUAACACUAACUGGAGGACCGAACCGACUAAUGUUGAAAAAUUAGCGGAUGACCUGUGGCUGGGGGUGAAAGGCCAAUCAAACCGGGAGAUAGCUGGUUCUCCCCGAAAGCUAUUUAGGUAGCGCCUCGUGAAUUCAUCUCCGGGGGUAGAGCACUGUUUCGGCUAGGGGGCCAUCCCGGCUUACCAACCCGAUGCAAACUGCGAAUACCGGAGAAUGUUAUCACGGGAGACACACGGCGGGUGCUAACGUCCGUCGUGAAGAGGGAAACAACCCAGACCGCCAGCUAAGGUCCCAAAGUCAUGGUUAAGUGGGAAACGAUGUGGGAAGGCCCAGACAGCCAGGAUGUUGGCUUAGAAGCAGCCAUCAUUUAAAGAAAGCGUAAUAGCUCACUGGUCGAGUCGGCCUGCGCGGAAGAUGUAACGGGGCUAAACCAUGC